rnacentral:rRNA from 1 species
GACGAACGCUGGCGGCGUGCUUAACACAUGCAAGUCGAACGGAAAGGCCCUGCUUUUGUGGGGUGCUCGAGUGGCGAACGGGUGAGUAACACGUGAGUAACCUGCCCUUGACUUUGGGAUAACUUCAGGAAACUGGGGCUAAUACCGGAUAGGAGCUCCUGCUGCAUGGUGGGGGUUGGAAAGUUUCGGCGGUUGGGGAUGGACUCGCGGCUUAUCAGCUUGUUGGUGGGGUAGUGGCUUACCAAGGCUUUGACGGGUAGCCGGCCUGAGAGGGUGACCGGCAAAAUGGGGACUGGGAUACGGCCCAGACUCCAACGGGGGGCAGCGGUGGGGAAUAUUGCACAAGGGGCGGAGGCCGGAUGCGGCAAGGCGGGGGGCGGAAUAACGGCCUUCGGGUGGUAAACCGCUUUCGCCGGGGACGAGGCGGGAGUGACGGUAAUGGGAAAGGAAGCACCGGCAAACUACGG